rnacentral:rRNA from 1 species
AGCUUGCUUGGUGGAUCAGUGGCGAACGGGUGAGUAACACGUGAGCAACCUGCCCUGGACUCUGGGAUAAGCGCUGGAAACGGCGUCUAAUACUGGAUAUGAGCCUCUAUCGCAUGGUGGGGGUUGGAAAGAUUUUUUGGUCUGGGAUGGGCUCGCGGCCUAUCAGCUUGUUGGUGAGGUAAUGGCUCACCAAGGCGUCGACGGGUAGCCGGCCUGAGAGGGUGACCGGCCACACUGGGACUGAGACACGGCCCAGACUCCUACGGGAGGCAGCAGUGGGGAAUAUUGCACAAUGGGCGGAAGCCUGAUGCAGCAACGCCGCGUGAGGGAUGACGGCCUUCGGGUUGUAAACCUCUUUUAGCAGGGAAGAAGCGAGAGUGACGGUACCUGCAGAAAAAGCGCCGGCUAACUACGUGCCAGCAGCCGCGGUAAUACGUAGGGCGCAAGCGUUAUCCGGAAUUAUUGGGCGUAAAGAGCUCGUAGGCGGUUUGUCGCGUCUGCUGUGAAAUCCCGAGGCUCAACCUCGGGUCUGCAGUGGGUACGGGCAGACUAGAGUGCGGUAGGGGAGAUUGGAAUUCCUGGUGUAGCGGUGGAAUGCGCAGAUAUCAGGAGGAACACCGAUGGCGAAGGCAGAUCUCUGGGCCGUAACUGACGCUGAGGAGCGAAAGGGUGGGGAGCAAACAGGCUUAGAUACCCUGGUAGUCCACCCCGUAAACGUUGGGAACUAGUUGUGGGGACCAUUCCACGGUUCCGUGACGCAGCUAACGCAUUAAGUUCCCCGCCUGGGGAGUACGGCCGCAAGGCUAAAACUCAAAGGAAUUGACGGGGACCCGCACAAGCGGCGGAGCAUGCGGAUUAAUUCGAUGCAACGCGAAGAACCUUACCAAGGCUUGACAUACACCAGAACACCGUAGAAAUACGGGACUCUUUGGACACUGGUGAACAGGUGGUGCAUGGUUGUCGUCAGCUCGUGUCGUGAGAUGUUGGGUUAAGUCCCGCAACGAGCGCAACCCUCGUUCUAUGUUGCCAGCACGUAAUGGUGGGAACUCAUGGGAUACUGCCGGGGUCAACUCGGAGGAAGGUGGGGAUGACGUCAAAUCAUCAUGCCCCUUAUGUCUUGGGCUUCACGCAUGCUACAAUGGCCGGUACAAAGGGCUGCAAUACCGUGAGGUGGAGCGAAUCCCAAAAAGCCGGUCCCAGUUCGGAUUGAGGUCUGCAACUCGACCUCAUGAAGUCGGAGUCGCUAGUAAUCGCAGAUCAGCAACGCUGCGGUGAAUACGUUCCCGGGUCUUGUACACACCGCCCGUCAAGUCAUGAAAGUCGGUAACACCUGAAGCCGGUGGCCCAACC